GUCAUAAGUCUGUAAUAAAAGUGCUUCGUAGACGAUAUGAAUGCUAUACAUGCACACAUAAAUUUUUUUGUCCCAGAAUAUGGCAAACAAUAAAAUCAAUCAAUCGAUAUGCCAAUGAAAACGUCGGCAAGCUUUUUAAGUUACAACUCCAUGGCCUUGUGAAUGAAUAUUGUUCGUGUGUCAAGAUUUCAAUGGGGUGUGUUGUAAAACACCCAUAAAAAUAAGGUCUUUGUUUGGCGCAAAGGGUAUCGUUAUUUUCUAAAGUCAUCAUUUUCAAGCCAUAAAAUUGUUUUAUGUUUGUAGUUCUUGUAAAAAUAUACAAAUUAUAAACAUGCCAUAAAAGGUAGAA